rnacentral:pre_miRNA from 1 species
UUUGCACUGGUGGGGUCCCUCGGCCUGGCCUGUGCCCUCUCGCAAUCUGGGACCCCCUCAGGGGAUGUCGGAGGCCUGGUGCAUGGAUUCGGCCCAAUCCCCGCAGGCCAGGCCAAGGGACCCCACCAGUGCACA